rnacentral:rRNA from 1 species
AGGGUUCGAUUAUGGCUCAGGACGAACGCUGGCGGCGUGCCUAACACAUGCAAGUCGAACGGAGUUGAGCCCUUCGGGACUUAACUUAGUGGCGAACGGGUGAGUAACGCGUGAGGAACCUGCCUUUCAGUGGGGGACAACAGUUGGAAACGACUGCUAAUACCGCAUAAUGCUUUUUGAUGGCAUCAUUGAAAAGCCAAAGAUUUAUUGCUGAAAGAUGGCCUCGCGUCUGAUUAGCUAGUUGGUGGGGUAACGGCCCACCAAGGCGACGAUCAGUAGCCGGUCUGAGAGGAUGAACGGCCACAUUGGGACUGAGAUACGGCCCAG